GAUGAACGCUGACAGAAUGCUUAACACAUGCAAGUCUUUGGCGAAGCUGUGCUUGCACAGCCUAGCCAAGGCGGACGGGUGAGUAACGCGUAAGGAACUUGCCCUGCAGUCAGGGAUAACAGACGGAAACGACUGAUAAGACCUGGUAAAGUCAGGCGGACUCAUGUCCAGCCUGAUGAAAAGAGAUGCUGCAGGAGAGCCGUGCGUCCUAUUAGCUUGUUGGUGGGGUAACGGCCCACCAAGGAGAUGAUAGGUAGCCGGCCUGAGAGGGUGGACGGCCACAAGGGGACUGAGAUGCGGCCCUUACUCCUACGGGAGGCAGCAGGGGGGAAUAUUGGACAAUGGGGGCAACCCUGAUCCAGCAAUUCUGUGUGCACGAUGAAGGUUUUCGGAUUGUAAAGUGCCUUCAGCAGGGAAGAAAAAAAUGACGGUACCUGCAGAAGAAGCGACGGCUAAAUACGUG
rnacentral:rRNA from 1 species